rnacentral:rRNA from 1 species
UACGGAGGGUGCGAGCGUUGUUCGGAAUUAUUGGGCGUAAAGCGCGUGUAGGCGGCUCCUUAAGUCUGAUGUGAAAGCCCCGGGCUCAACCCGGGAAGUGCAUUGGAAACUGGGGAACUUGAAUACGGGAGAGGGUAGUGGAAUUCCUGGUGUAGGAGUGAAAUCCGUAGAUAUCAGGAGGAACACCGGUGGCGAAGGCGGCUACCUGGACCGAUAUUGACGCUGAGACGCGAAAGCGUGGGGAGCAAACAGG